rnacentral:rRNA from 1 species
GUUGCUUCGGCGGGUGCCCCGCCACGGGACCGCCCGCCGGAGGGCUUCAAACCAAUGCGAGUUUACGUGUCUGUCCGAAAUGUCUCUGUUGAACCGAGCAAAAACUUUCAGCAACGGAUCUCUUGGUUCCGGCAUCGAUGAAGAACGCAGCGAAAUGCGAUAAGUAAUGUGAAUUGCAGAAUCCAGUGAACCAUCGAAUCUUUGAACGCACAUUGCGCCCCCCGGCAUUCCGGGGGGCAUGCCCGUCCGAGCGUCAUUGCACCACGUCGAGCCCGCGGGCUUGGUUUUUGGGCUCUGUCUCCCCCGCGCCUGGGGCAGACACGCCCCAAAGGCAGUGGCAGCCCGGGGGCGACCUCCAGCGCGAUGGUACGCUCCACGCUGGGCAGGAGUCGCCCCGGGUUGGCGCCAGGCAACCUGAUUCUCUCCGUUCGGUUGACCUCGGAUCGGGCAGGGAUACCCGCUGAACUUAAGCAUAUCAAUAAGCGGAGGACAAGAAACCAACCGGGAUUGCCUCAGUAACGGCGAGUGAAGCGGCAGCAGCUCAAAUUUGAAAUCCGACCCCCCUCGGGGGCCCGAGUUGUAAUUUGGAGAGGGCGCUUCGGGGCGCGCCGCCGGUCCGAGUGCCUUGGAACAGGCCGCCGUGGAGGGUGAGAGCCCCGUACGCGGCCGGCGGACCGUCCCCGCACGAAGCCCCUUCGACGAGUCGAGUUGUUUGGGAAUGCAGCUCUAAGCGGGUGGUAAAUUCCAUCUAAAGCUAAAUACAGGCCGGAGACCGAUAGCGCACAAGUAGAGUGAUCGAAAGAUGAAAAGCACCUUGAAAAGGGGGUCAAAAAGCACGUGAAAUUGCUGAGAGGGAAGCGCUGGCCCCCAGACCUGCCGCGCAGGCGACCCCCUGUGGCCCCGUGCCGCCGGGGAUCAUCGUCCGCGCUCAGGCCAGCACGGGUUCGGGCGGCGGGACAAAGCGCCCGGGAAUGUAGCUCCCUCCGGGGAGCCUUAUAGCCCGGGCGGUCAUGCCGCCCGCCCGGACCGAGGACCGCGCUUCGGCGAGGGUGCUGGCGUAAUGGGGGUCAGCGACCCGUCUUGAAACACGGACCAAGGAGUCUAACGUCCCCGCGAGUGUUCGGGCGUCAAACCCCCGGCGCGGAAUGAAAGUGAACGGAGGUGGGACCCCCGCGAGGGGCGCACCAUCGACCGAUCCAGAUGUCUUCGGAUGGAUUUGAGUACGAGCGCGGCCGUUGGGACCCGAAAGAUGGUGAACUAUGCCUGGGUAGGGUGAAGCCAGAG